AAACAUCUCUUUUUGAAUAUAAUUUAAAGUUUGAUYUGCUCAAUGAUUAAGAUUAAAUAGCUGCAGUAAUUUAACUGUACUAAGGUAGCAUAAUCAAUAGUUUUUUAAUUGAAAGCUGGAAUGAAAGAUUGAAUGAAAUAAUAAUUGUCUCAAAUUUAAUAAUAUUAGAAUUUUUUUUUUAGUUAAAAAGCUAAAAUGAUUUUAAAAGACGAGAAGACCCUAUAGAUUUUUAUAAUUUAUUUAAAUAAUAAUAAUAAUAUAAUUUAUAAUUAAUUAAUUAAAUUAUUUAGUUGGGGAAAUUAUUAAAUUUAAUAAAUUUUAAUUUUUAUUAAACAAUAAUUAUUGAAUAAGUGAUCUUAAUUAUAGAUAGUAAGAAUAAAAUACCUUAGGGAUAACAGCGUAAUAUUUUUAGAGAGAUCAUAUUAAUAAAAAUGUUUGCGACCUCGAUGUUGAAUUAAAAUAAAAUUAUAAUGAAGAAGUUAUAAAUUUUUGGUCUGUUCGACCAUUAAAAUUUUACGUGAUCUGAGUUCA
rnacentral:rRNA from 1 species